GAUGAACGCUGGCGGCGUGCCUAAUACAUGCAAGUCGAGCGAACGGACGAGAAGCUUGCUUCUCUGAUGUUGGCGGCGGACGGGUGAGUAACACGUGGAUAACCUACCUAUAAGACUGGGAUAACUUCGGGAAACCGGAGCUAAUACCGGGUGAGAUUUUGAACCGCAGGGUUCAAAAGUGAAAGACGGUCUUGCUGUCGCUUAUAGAUGGAUCCGCGCUGCAUUAGCUAGUUGGUAAGGUAACGGCUUACCAAGGCAACGAUGCAUAGGCGAGCGGAGAGGGUGAUCGGCGACACUGGAACUGAGACACGCUCCAGACUCCUACGGGAGGCAGCAGAAGGGAAUCUUCCGCAAUGGUCGAAAGCCUUACGGAGCAACGCCGCGUCAGUGAUGGAGGUCUUCGGAUCGUAAUACUCUGUUAUUAGGUAAGAACAUAUGUGUAAGUAACUGUGCCCAUCUUGACGGUACCUACUCAGAAAGCCCCGGCUAACUACGUG
rnacentral:rRNA from 1 species